UCCGACUUGGAGCCGGCAGUCUCCCAAGAAAAAUGCAACUUGGGACAAGGGUUGCGCUCGUUCACGGACUUAACCGAACACCUCAAGGCACGAGCUGACGACAACCAUGCAGCACCUGUCACCGGGUUCCUUACGGCACAUCCGCCUUUCGGCAGACUCCCCGGGAUGUCAAACCAUGGUAAGGUUCCUCGUUUACUAUCGAAUUAAACCAGAUGCUCCACCGCUUGUGUGGGUCCCCGUCUAUUCCUUUGAGUUUUAGUCUUGCGACCGUACUACCCAGGCGGAUCACUUAAUGCGUUUGCUUCGGCACUGAAGGGGUCGAGACCCCCAACACCUAGUGAUCAUCGUUUAGGGCGUGGACUAC
rnacentral:misc_RNA from 1 species